rnacentral:rRNA from 1 species
GUCCAUGCCGUAAACGAUGUCUACUAGCCGUUGGGGCCUUUGAGGCUUUAGUGGCGCAGCUAACGCGAUAAGUAGACCGCCUGGGGAGUACGGUCGCAAGACUAAAACUCAAAUGAAUUGACGGGGGCCCGCACAAGCGGUGGAGCAUGUGGUUUAAUUCGAUGCAACGCGAAGAACCUUACCUGGCCUUGACAUACAGAGAACUUUCCAGAGAUGGAUUGGUGCCUUCGGGAACUCUGAUACAGGUGCUGCAUGGCUGUCGU